rfam:Aedes albopictus isolate Foshan contig150662, whole genome shotgun sequence.
UCUGUGGCUUAGUUGGUUAAAGCGCAGGUUAAGUGAAAACGGAGUCGUGGGUUCAAAUCUCACCAGA